AGAGCGAACGCUGGCGGCAGGCUUAACACAUGCAAGUCGAGCGGGCGUAGCAAUACGUCAGCGGCAGACGGGUGAGUAACGCGUGGGAACGUACCUUUUGGUUCGGAACAACCCAGGGAAACUUGGGCUAAUACCGGAUAAGCCCUUACGGGGAAAGAUUUAUCGCCGAAAGAUCGGCCCGCGUCUGAUUAGCUAGUUGGUGAGGUAAUGGCUCACCAAGGCGACGAUCAGUAGCUGGUCUGAGAGGAUGAUCAGCCACAUUGGGACUGAGACACGGCCCAAACUCCUACGGGAGGCAGCAGUGGGGAAUAUUGGACAAUGGGCGCAAGCCUGAUCCAGCCAUGCCGCGUGAGUGAUGAAGGCCCUAGGGUUGUAAAGCUCUUUUACCCGGGAAGAUAAUGACGGUACCGGGAGAAUAAGCCCCGGCUAACUUCGCGCCAGCAGCCGC
rnacentral:rRNA from 1 species